CACGUAGGGCGCGAGCGUUGUCCGGAAUUAUUGGGCGUAAAGAGCUCGUAGGCGGCCUGUUGCGUCCGCUGUGAAAGCCCGGGGCUUAACCCCCGGGUCGGCAGUGGAUACGGGCAGGCUAGAGGUAGGUAGGGGAGAAUGGAAUUCCCGGUGUAGCGGUGAAAUGCGCAGAUAUCGGGAGGAACACCGGUGGCGAAGGCGGUUCCCUGGCCUUGACCUGACGUGAGGAGCGAAGACGUGGGGGAGCGAACAGG
rnacentral:rRNA from 1 species